UCGGCUUCUGUGGGUUACGGUGGAGGUGCACGGAGGGGACGGACGCGCGCGGCGCUCCGCGUCCUACUGGGCCCGGCGUGCAGGGUCUUAUCAGCGCAGGCAGCUGGCGGCCUGUCUCCGCACGAGCUCCCCAGCCCAAUUCAAUGGCCAUUGUCCGCCGGCCCCUUUGUUCAGGAGGCGGCCACUUCCUGCAGGACCGAGCAGGGUGCGGGUGGCAGGAAACCAAGAUUCGGAGGCCCGCCUGGCCUGGGGUCCUGUCUCGGGGGCUCGUCUCCGUCCGAGACCUGUUGGGUCUGUGCCUCCUCCUGAUCGCGGCCACAGGUCACCGGCUCAGAGAAGAACCGCCAUUUUGGAUGGAACUCAUGUCCGGACGUGUAAACUCCAUUCCCAUUGCCUCCCCUCAGGAAUAAUCAUUGGGACUCAACUGUG